AUGAGUUAACGUCAGCCAGCAAGUCAUUGUAAUGUUAAUGAGCAUAAUGUGCUAAUACAAACUUUUGACUCAGUGGUUCAGUAUCUGCUUUUUAUUCAUGACCAGAGGUCCUGAACGAUUGAGGGUAAUAAAAUAACGUUUAAUUAACUUAUUGAUAAGCAAUAACCAGUAACCAGUUCAAAACCAGUCAUUCAAGGUCAUAAGUACAUUCAUGCAUUCUAUUAGCCAGACAGUCAGUUGCUUGAGACCAGCCGCAGGAGGUAUGGACUGCAUGGGUUCGGACGAGCUUGCUUUUUGGUCUGAAUGUGGACCAAGACCCAGGCGUUGACAAGCCCUACUAUGAUUAAUGUGUUUUGCAGGUGUUCUGAGUAAUACUAAAAAAUACCUAUGGCUAUAACAUUUGGCAUUUAGUUAUUGUCUUUCUUAUUACUCAGGGCCAAUUAACAGACAUCUUAAGCACAGCCCAAAAGCUGGUGUUGCUGUUGAGAAACAGUGCACUGGCAAAUGUCAUGCCAGUCAGUCAGGGCAGUACAGGAGAAGCUGCUGUUAGACAGGGAGCGCAGUCAGUGCCGGCAGUGAGACCUCAGCGCAAUGACUCUGGACAGUCUGUGAAACAAGAAAUGGCUCGGUCUUUUCCUGGAUUUUUCCGAAAGGAGGCAAGAGGCAAAAAGCGUUUUGCACCAUAUACACCAACACAACCUGGGAAGAGCUUUUUGGUGAACUUUUUUCUUCUUGAAAAGCAACAUGAAAAAACACCAAAUGGAGAAGAGGAACUGCAGCUUAUACUGGCUGGCCUUGGAAAACGUUCAUUAACCCUUAAUGAAAACAUCACACAUUCAGAGUUUUCAGAUUUGCUUUUGAGCACAUAUCCAAGACUGGCAAAUAUCUUUGGAGGCUGGUUGCUGCACAAGUCCACAAGUGGGGGUGGGCAGUAGAGAUUGGCUGUUAUCCCUCAAGAUUUAAAUGGAUACACCGGCCAGCAGCUAAAAGCAAAGCAAAGGAAUUUGAGAAGAUGCCUAAAGCUCAGUGUACAACCUGCAAGAAAAUGGUUCCGCUUCAGAUUCUUCCAGGACACAUAAAGGAAUGCAAGAAACAACUUGUAGAUUUGUGUGAUUCUGCUGAAGAAGAGAAAGUAAAGCUGCAAGGGAGAAGAUGAAGAUGAAUGCUCAGCUGCCCUUUGCUACUAGAAAAGCAAGACAGCUGAGUGUCCUGUGUGCAGUAAUGCAUUUCAUCCUGAAAUCAUUGAGUUCCACGCAGCCAGUUGCGAACUUCAGAUGAUGAUGGCCAUGAGUCAAGUGAUCCAAUCAGUACCUUUCAAAGUUCUGAGGACAUCUUGAAUUGGAUCGGUUAUCAAGUUGAUGAGACAAACACAUUUUCCAUCUGUGUGUCGCGAACUGAUCUGUACAACGGAGAAUCAGAAUCAGAAUCAGAAUCAGAAUGAGCUUUAUUGCCAGUUAUUGUCAAGUGUUCAUUAGAUGGAUCGCCUGGGGGAAGAAACUGUUCCUGUGUCUGGCCGUUCUGGUGCUCAGUGCUCUGUAGCGUCAACCAGAUGGCAACAGUUCAAAAAGGGAGUGUGCUGGAUGUGAGGGGUCCAGAGUGAUUUUGCCAGCCCUUUUGCUCACUCUGGAUAAGUACAGUUCUUGAAUAGACGGGAGGGUUGUACCGAUGAUUCUCUCUGCAGUCCGGACUACCCUCUGUAGUCUUCUGAGGUCAGAUUUAGAAGCUGAGCUGAACCAG
ensembl:lncRNA